GCGGUUGUGGCGGAACGGCAGACGCACCAUCUUGAGGGGGUGGCGGGGAGACCCGUGUGGGUUCAAAUCCCACCAACCGCA
rfam:Phascolarctobacterium sp. CAG:266 genomic scaffold, scf192